GUCCUUCAAUACUGUUGUAUGAAAGUUUGGUGAACCUUAUCACUUAGAGGAAGGAGAAGUCGUAACAAGGUUUCCGUAGGUGAACCUGCGGAAGGAUCAUUC
rnacentral:rRNA from 1 species